rnacentral:tRNA from 1 species
GGUGGUAUAGCCAAGUGGUAAGGCCGUAGAUUGCAAAUCUUCUAUCCCCAGUUCGAAUCUGGGUUCCACCU